UGGGGAAUAUUGGACAAUGGGGGGAACCCUGAUCCAGCCAUGCCGCGUGUGUGAAGAAGGCCUUUUGGUUGUAAAGCACUUUAAGCGAGGAGGAGGCUACCGAGAUUAAUACUCUUGGAUAGUGGACGUUACUCGCAGAAUAAGCACCGGCUAACUCUGUGCCAGCAGCCGCGGUAAUACAGAGGGUGCAAGCGUUAAUCGGAUUUACUGGGCGUAAAGCGCGCGUAGGUGGCCAAUUAAGUCAAAUGUGAAAUCCCCGAGCUUAACUUGGGAAUUGCAUUCGAUACUGGUUGGCUAGAGUAUGGGAGAGGAUGGUAGAAUUCCAGGUGUAGCGGUGAAAUGCGUAGAGAUCUGGAGGAAUACCGAUUGCGAAGGCAGCCAUCUGGCCUAAUACUGACACUGAGGUGCGAAAGCAUGGGGAGCAAACAGG
rnacentral:rRNA from 1 species